rnacentral:rRNA from 1 species
CAGCCGUAAACAAUGUGCGUUAGGUGUGUCGGUAACCACGUGUUACUGAUGCGCCGAAGAGAAAUCGUGAAACGCACCACCUGGGAAGUACGGUCGCAAGGCUGAAACUUAAAGGAAUUGGCGGGGGGAGCACCACAACAGGUGGAGCCUGCGGUUUAAUUGGAUUCAACGCCGGACAUCUCACCGGAUAAGACAGCUGAAUGAUUGUCAAUCUGAAGGUUUACAUGACUAGCUGAGAGGUGGUGCAUGGCGUCAGUGACU